AACAGUAUCAGUGUUGUUUAGACACAAGCAAUAAUUGGCUAAUCUGCUACAACCCCAUAUUUAGACAUGGAAGGAGAAAGGCUAAGAAAAGAAUGUGUAGGAAAAUCAGUCUGAAAACAAAGCUUAGGGGAAAAAUGGAGAGAGAAAGGAGGGGAAAAACCAGCAGAAAGGAUGGAGCACGUAUCUAGACAAUCUCCCUUUGUUUGCAGAAGGCUCCCCUCCUCCUCUUAAGACUGUUCCUUCCUUCACUCUUAUUAAUUUUUCUCUGCAGCUUAUCUCUUAGCCCUUGGGUAAGAAAAGAUCAGAGCCUGAGCACACCUGCUCCAGAGGCUGCAAUUCUCGGCCAAGGUGGGCGGAUCACGAGGUCAGGAAAUCGAGACCAUCCUGGCUAACACCGUGAAACCCCGUCUCUACUAAAAAUACAAAAAAUUAGCCGGGCGCGGUGGCGGGCGCCUGUAGAGAAUACAUUUAUUUUCCUACUCCCUGCU
rnacentral:lncRNA from 1 species